rnacentral:rRNA from 1 species
UACGAAGGGGGCUAGCGUUGCUCGGAAUCACUGGGCGUAAAGCGCACGUAGGCGGCUUUUUAAGUCAGAGGUGAAAUCCUGGAGCUCAAUUCCAGAACUGCCUUUGAUACUGGAGAGCUUGAGUCCGGGAGAGGUGAGUGGAACUGCGAGUGUAGAGGUGAAAUUCGUAGAUAUUCGCAAGAACACCAGUGGCGAAGGCGGCUCACUGGCCCGGUACUGACGCUGAGGUGCGAAAGCGUGGGGAGCAAACAGG